rnacentral:rRNA from 1 species
GCGGACGGGUGAGUAAUGUCUGGGAAACUGCCUGAUGGAGGGGGAGUAACUACUGGAAACGGUAGCUAAUACCGCAUAACGUCGCAAGACCAAAGAGGGGGACCUCCGGGCCUCUUGCCAUCGGAUGUGCCCAGAUGGGAUUAGCUAGUAGGUGGGGUAACGGCUCACCUAGGCGACGAUCCCUAGCUGGUCUGAGAGGAUGACCAGCCACACUGGAACUGAGACACGGUCCAGACUCCUACGGGAGGCAGCAUG